rnacentral:lncRNA from 1 species
UAAAAUAAAAAUAAAUCUAGGCAUAAUAAUAAAAUAAAUAAAUAAAUAAAAUAAAUAAAUAAAGAGGGAAAGGGCAAAGUGGGGAAUCGAUGGUGGCACACGUGGCGAACACGACUGGCUAGCGACGAGACGAUGGUCGAUCGGGGUAAGGAUUGUGAUAGGGAUUGAGGGUUGGUCGAAAAAGAGAGGGGCUUGGUUGGUGAGGGAGGAAAGAUUGGGGUGGAAGAGAGAGGGGCCGUGUGGGGUUGCGGGUUCGAAGAUAGUGGUGCGGGGCGAUUUGUGCGCGUGGGUUGCUCAAUGAUGGAGAAGGGCAUCGGAGGGGGGAAAUGAAAAGGUGAAGGGAGGGAGAAAGGGAAAGGAAGAGGAGAUAGGGAAUGAAAAAGAGGAAAGGGAAAGUGGAUUGGGUCGAGGGGUUCGUGCAAUAGGGGUAUAGGAGGUGGCCAAUUUGGUGAGGGAGUGGUUCGGCGGUGACGUUGAGGGCUAUGGAGGGGAACUUGGCCAGACGGGUAAUAGGGGGUUCGACAUAGCUAGGGUGUUGGGGGUGAGAAAAAGACAAAGUAAAAAGAAAAGGGGAUUAGGGUUUGGGUUAAAAAGGGUGACAUAGUCGUGUAAGGGAUCGUAUUAGGACAUAUGGUUGUGUCAUACGCUCGUGUGGAUCCUUCUCAACCCAUGUGCGAUUCAAAAUUCCAAACCUAGUAUUCAC